GGCCCAGUGGUGGAAUGGUUACCACACCUGCUAUAUUUACCCAUGGUUUUCCCAGAAAUCUGCAGAAGAUCCUUGUUCGACUCAAAGAUGGGCCG